UAAGGGGUUAAGAAUCUGCUUUGCAGCAACUUGGAUUGGGCUACAGAGGGAUGACAAAAAAAUCUAGUUCUAUAAACUUAAAAUGUGAUGUUGGACUACUGAACUGAAGCAUGCUCAGCUCCCCAGUGGAUGCUUAUCUUCACAGAAUACCAAAAGCACGCCCACAUGCUGAUCUUCAUGAUGAACUAAACUGGCACUGCAGCUACCUUGUAAAAGCUAAAGUGACAUAUUAUUCUACAACAAGAUCCUGCUUUGAUUAUUUUUCCUCCUAUAAUUGAUGGCAACUCCUCCUCAUCCUCAAAGGAGGUAGACUGAAAUAAGAAACAGAAGUGAAGAGGAUGUGUUACAGGAACAGGACAGCACUCUUUGUUGCCAUCGAUGUUAACUCAGUUUAAUGGUAAAGGUACCUCA